AAAGCAGCUUCCUGCAAACUCUGGUCUGCUCAACUGCCAAGGACAGAGCAGACAGCCUACACACAACACAUCAGCAGAGACCACAAGCAUUAACAGGGCUGAGAUGGAUUUCAACAUGUUUGUGACACUGACGUUGGAGCCCCUUCCUGAGGAUCAGCUCUAGGAGCUCACAGCAGGAUGCGAGGUGAGGGUUGGACUCUGUCACCAUCUCCCCAUCACCCUGCAGGUUCAGGACGCACACUGGCAGGAAAAAAACACGCAAUAAACAGUGAACCUGCUGUCAAUCGGCAUGACAGUGAGCAAAAACACACCGCCGUUUUUCAUAAUCGUCAUUUCACUCAUCAACACAAUAAAUAAGAUAAAAGGUGUGGCUGAUGCGUUAUGGGAUGUCUGCAACAGAAAUAAAACCUCAGUUGCCAUGGCAGAAACACAGUUUGUUUGCAUUGGAGAAUGAUAAAGUGUCGUACAGAUGGACGAUGCGAUCAGCUGAGAUGACGAGCCAAUAACAUCCCCCUACCAUCAUCUUUAUUGAUGCUUACCCUUCAGAGUGCCGAGCAGAGGGUCUCUGGGUGCCAUGUUGAGCAGCUGUAAUCAGAGCCUGUCCUUGGAGAGAGACGGUCCUCCAGCCUUCUGUCAUUUACGCUCAGGGACGCACGCUGUGAUCACACUUCCGUGUAGCUGACAUACCGAGACACCUUCCGUUCAUUCCUCAGUACAAACCUG